CUGGUGUGAUCAGAGCAGGUUCCUCUCAGACUAUAGGACAACCUGUUUAUACCACACCACAGAGUAACAUGGAGUCUGUCACUCAAAGUAACAGUCUGUCACUCAGAGUAACAGUCUCCACACAG